rnacentral:rRNA from 1 species
AGAGUUUGAUCCUGGCUCAGGAUGAACGCUAGCGGCAGGCUUAACACAUGCAAGUCGAAGGGCAGCGAGGGGAGUGCUUGCACUCCCUGUCGGCGACUGGCGCACGGGUGAGUAACACGUAUGCAACCUGCCCUCCACAGGGGGACAACCUUCCGAAAGGGAGGCUAAUCCCGCGUAAAUCCCAUGGAGGCAUCUCCUUGGGAGGAAAACUCCGGUGGUGGAGGAUGGGCAUGCGGCGCAUUAGGCAGUCGGCGGGGUAACGGCUCACCGAACCGACGAUGCGUAGGGGUUCUGAGAGGAAGGUCCCCCACACUGGUACUGAGACACGGACCAGACUCCUACGGGAGGCAGCAGUGAGGAAUAUUGGUCAAUGGGCGAGAGCCUGAACCAGCCAAGUCGCGUGAGGGAAGACGGCCCUACGGGUUGUAAACCUCUUUUGUCAGGGAGCAAGAACAGGCACGUGUGCCUGACUGAGAGUACCUGAAGAAAAAGCAUCGGCUAACUCCGUGCCAGCAGCCGCGGUAAUACGGAGGAUGCGAGCGUUAUCCGGAUUUAUUGGGUUUAAAGGGUGCGCAGGCGGAACGGAAAGUCAGCGGUAAAAUUGCGGGGCUCAACCCCGUCGAGCCGUUGAAACUGUCGUUCUAGAGUGGGCGAGAAGUAUGCGGAAUGCGUGGUGUAGCGGUGAAAUGCAUAGAUAUCACGCAGAACUCCGAUUGCGAAGGCAGCGUACCGGCGCCCUACUGACGCUGAAGCACGAAAGCGUGGGUAUCGAACAGGAUUAGAUACCCUGGUAGUCCACGCAGUAAACGAUGAAUGCUAAUUGUUCGGGUCGAAUGAGGCCUGAGUGAUACAGCGAAAGCGUUAAGUAUUCCACCUGGGGAGUACGCCGGCAACGGUGAAACUCAA